rnacentral:rRNA from 1 species
UUAAGUUAAUAAGGGCGCACGGUGGAUGCCUUGGCACUAGGAGCCGACGAAGGACGUGACAAACGACGAUAUACCUUGGGUAGCUGUAAGUAAGCGAUGAUCCAGGGAUUUCCGAAUGGGGGAACCCAACAGGUAAUACCUGUUACCCACAUCUGUUAAGGAUGUGAGGAGGAAGACGCAGUGAACUGAAACAUCUAAGUAGCUGCAGGAAGAGAAAGCAAAAGCGAUUGCCUUAGUAGCGGCGAGCGAAACGGCAGAAGGGCAAACCGAAGAGUUUACUCUUCGGGGUUGUAGGACUGCAAUGUGGACUCAAAGAUUAUAGAAGAAUGAUUUGGGAAGAUCAGCCAAAGAGAGUAAUAGCCUCGUAUUUAAAAUAGUCUUUGUACCUAGCAGUAUCCUGAGUACGGCGGGACACGUGAAAUCCCGUCGGAAUCUGGGAGGACCAUCUCCCAACCCUAAAUACUCCCUAGUGACCGAUAGUGAACCAGUACCGUGAGGGAAAGGUGAAAAGCACCCCGGGAGGGGAGUGAAAUAGAACCUGAAACCGUGUGCCUACAACAAGUUCGAGCCCGUUAAUGGGUGAGAGCGUGCCUUUUGUAGAAUGAACCGGCGAGUUACGUUAUGAUGCGAGGUUAAGUUGAAGAGACGGAGCCGUAGGGAAACCGAGUCUGAACAGGGCGAAUUAGUAUCAUGACGUAGACCCGAAACCAUGUGACCUACCCAUGAGCAGGUUGAAGGUGCGGUAAGACGCACUGGAGGACCGAACCAGGGCACGUUGAAAAGUGCUUGGAUGACUUGUGGGUAGCGGAGAAAUUCCAAACGAACUUGGAGAUAGCUGGUUCUCUCCGAAAUAGCUUUAGGGCUAGCGUCGACAUUAGAGAUUCUUGGAGGUAGAGCACUGUUUGGGUGAGGGGUCCAUCCCGGAUUACCAAUCUCAGAUAAACUCCGAAUGCCAAUGAAUUAUGGUCGGCAGUCAGACUGCGAGUGCUAAGAUCCGUAGUCGAAAGGGAAACAGCCCAGACCACCAGCUAAGGUCCCAAAAUAAUUGUUAAGUGGAAAAGGAUGUGGGGUUGCACAGACAACUAGGAUGUUAGCUUAGAAGCAGCUAUUCAUUCAAAGAGUGCGUAAUAGCUCACUAGUCGAGUGACCCUGCGCCGAAAAUGUACCGGGGCUAAAACAAUUUACCGAAGCUGUGGAUACCUUUAUAGGUAUGGUAGGAGAGCGUUCUAUGUGUGAUGAAGGUAUACCGUGAGGAGUGCUGGAACGCAUAGAAGUGAGAAUGCCGGUAUGAGUAGCGAAAGACAGGUGAGAAUCCUGUCCACCGUAAGACUAAGGUUUCCAGGGGAAGGCUCGUCCGCCCUGGGUUAGUCGGGACCUAAGGAGAGACCGAAAGGUGUAUCCGAUGGACAACAGGUUGAUAUUCCUGUACUAGAGUAUGUAGUGAUGGAGGGACGCAGUAGGCUAACUAAAGCAGACGAUUGGAAGAGUCUGUCUAAGCAGUGAGGUGUGAAUUGAGUCAAAUGCUUAAUUCUAUAACAUUGAGCUGUGAUGGGGAGCGAAGUUUAGUAGCGAAGUUAGUGACGUCACACUGCCAAGAAAAGCUUCUAGCGUUUAAACAUACUCUACCCGUACCGCAAACCGACACAGGUAGUCGAGGCGAGUAGCCUCAGGUGAGCGAGAGAACUCUCGUUAAGGAACUCGGCAAAAUGACCCCGUAACUUCGGGAGAAGGGGUGCUGACUUUAGGUCAGCCGCAGUGAAUAGGCCCAAGCAACUGUUUAUCAAAAACACAGCUCUCUGCUAAAUCGUAAGAUGAUGUAUAGGGGGUGACGCCUGCCCGGUGCUGGAAGGUUAAGAGGAGUGCUUAGCGUAAGCGAAGGUAUGAAUUGAAGCCCCAGUAAACGGCGGCCGUAACUAUAACGGUCCUAAGGUAGCGAAAUUCCUUGUCGGGUAAGUUCCGACCCGCACGAAAGGCGUAAUGAUUUGGGCACUGUCUCAACGAGAGACUCGGUGAAAUUUUAGUACCUGUGAAGAUGCAGGUUACCCGCGACAGGACGGAAAGACCCCAUGGAGCUUUACUGCAGUUUGAUAUUGAGUGUCUGUACCACAUGUACAGGAUAGGUAGGAGUCUAAGAGAUCGGGACGCCAGUUUCGAAGGAGACGCUGUUGGGAUACUACCCUUGUGUUAUGGCCACUCUAACCCAGAUAGGUGAUCCCUAUCGGAGACAGUGUCUGACGGGCAGUUUGACUGGGGCGGUCGCCUCCUAAAAGG